rfam:Camelus ferus unplaced genomic scaffold scaffold182, whole genome shotgun sequence.
GAGGGUAUACCUCAGCGGUAGAGCGCAUGCUUAGCAUGCACAAGGUCCUGGGUUCAAUCCCCAGUACCUCUA